rnacentral:rRNA from 1 species
GAUGAACGCUGGCGGCGUGCCUAACACAUGCAAGUCGAACGAGGUAAAUAAGAUGAAGUUUUCGGAUGGAUUCUUAUUUACCGAGUGGCGGACGGGUGAGUAACGCGUGGGUAACCUGCCUCAUACAGGGGGAUAACGGUUAGAAAUGACUGCUAAUACCGCAUAAGCGCACAGUACCGCAUGGUACGGUGUGAAAAACUCCGGUGGUAUGAGAUGGACCCGCGUCUGAUUAGCUAGUUGGUGGGGUAACGGCCCACCAAGGCGACGAUCAGUAGCCGACCUGAGAGGGUGACCGGCCACAUUGGGACUGAGACACGGCCCAGACUCCUACGGGAGGCAGCAGUGGGGGAUAUUGCACAAUGGAGGAAACUCUGAUGCAGCGACGCCGCGUGAGUGAAGAAGUAUUUCGGUAUGUAAAGCUCUAUCAGCAGGGAAGAAAAUGACGGUACCUGACUAAGAAGCCCCGGCUAACUACGUGCCAGCAGCCGCGGUAA